GUCAUGAUAGUCUGUUCUGUUAAUAAAUUUAGCUGUUCAGAUCUGUUGGGGUACUUCUAAUGCUUUAAGUUCUGUCUUUUGGUUACAAAACAUAUAUGGGUUUAUAAGGGGUUCAAAGAAAAAAAGAAAUUUUCUUUUCAUAAUCUUUAUUGUAAGAUUCAGUACGAGUCACAGGGAAAAAGUUAUCGGAUUAUUUAGCUCUUAAUAAUCCUUCUUUAGUUAUUGUGCCCACAGUGAAAAUGUAUGCUAUUGUGUAAAGAACACAGGAGAACGAUCAUAUGCAUUCUCUGACACAGCACAAGCUCCGGAUUCUUGCAAUUGUGCCAGGGAUUUCCUGGAUGGAUUAACAAGUACCUCAGAUUGUGAUGGUUUUGGAAAUUAUAAAUCACUCCAGACAGCAAAUGGUAAUGAACACUGUAGAGACGCAAUUGAUGGAUGGAGGGUGAGUGGGGAGGUGCCCAGUGUAGAAAACAAACCUGGAGAUCUUCCUUGUUGUUUAGAUUCGACUAAUACAACUAUAUUUAAACCUGAUUUUACUCCAGCCUCACCUCAG